UGCCCGUUUCAAAGGGACAGCUCUACCUUUCACUGGGAUAUACCACUGAGGAGGGGGAGGUGUCAAAGCUGUGCAGCUAUGCCAUUUGGUGAGAUGCCAGUCCCCUGAAAGGGGUCCCAAAGCCAAAUCUAAUUCAACCUUUUUUCCCUCCCUAACCCCUCAGCAGGAAAAGCAAUCAGCCUUGGGGAUUUCUAUAUACCUCUCUCCUAAAAAGGACAGAAAGAAGUGUCGAGUGGAACAGGGAGUGCGUAUAGUGGGAACAGAAGAAUUGGAAGGCACCAUGAACUAAUCGUAAUCACCCUCUCAAGCCUCAGUUUCUUCCUCUGUAAAAUGAGGAGUUUGGACUAGGUGAGCUUCAGGGUCCUUCCAGCUCUCAAUGUUAGGCCCCUUCUCUCUUC
rnacentral:lncRNA from 1 species